rnacentral:rRNA from 1 species
CGGAGUGGCGGACGGGUGAGGAAUACAUCGGAAUCUACUCUGUCGUGGGGGGAUAACGUAGGGAAACUUACGCUAAUACCGCAUACGACCUACGGGUGAAAGCAGGGGAUCUUCGGACCUUGCGCGAUUGAAUGAGCCGAUGUCGGAUUAGCUAGUUGGCGGGGUAAAGGCCCACCAAGGCGACGAUCCGUAGCUGGUCUGAGAGGAUGAUCAGCCACACUGGAACUGAGACACGGUCCAGACUCCUACGGGAGGCAGCAGGG